ACAUAUGACGCACGACGCGAGAAAACCGGUCUUAAUGACACUACAAUAAAUGUGCACUACAGCGAUUUAAAUGACGUCACUCUUAUUGCGUAUACACAUGUAAACACGGAAAUGCUUUUUAUCGUGUGUUAUUGUUUUUUAAGUGUAUUAUCGUUAGAAUUCAGAGGAAAGUUUAUAUGAUGGAGGAGGAGUUAGAAGUAAGUGUCUAUAAUGUAUAAUUUAUGAAAAACAACAACAAAAAUAUAUCAUGCAUGUUUAUUUAUCAUCUAGCAUCGAAUUGAUAAAUAUUUACUGUUGGUAAUUUGACACUGACGUUUAAAGUACUGUAUAAAAUCUACACUACAGUACUGUACAUUAAGUAUGCUUUGAAAUACAGAAGAAUAAAUUAAUCGGCAACAUACAUCGGUGCCUUUAUAUAGAAUAAAUUUACGUUGUUUUGAUCUUAAUUAAAUCAAAGUCUAUUGUAGGGGUUUACCAAUCGAUCUCAUAUUUUAUAGGCAGAUCUAAAUUUAGGUUAAUUUAAGAAUAAUCUAAUCAGUCGCAAGUUAAAUUAAUACUCUUUUUCAUAAUUCAUUUACAAUAUGUUUCUAUAAUUCAUUUAGAACAUGUAAGCAAUAAAAUAAUAUAUGCCCAAACUAUGCUACGUCAUCAUGGAAUAAACAAGUUUUUUAGAUCUAAUAUUGCCUUUUAUUAAUUAAUUAGCACGCUAAAGUAUUGCUGAGAGUAUAGCUCAGUGGAUAAUGCUGUGGCCUCACAAUCAAACAAAUCGAGUUCGUAUCCUGGCUGAUUCCAAUUUUUUUCUAUCCGUUUUUUAUUCAUUUUUUUUUGUCAUUCAUAGGUACUCGGAUUAUUUUUUGGAGAACACUUAUCAAGUCACAAAACAGAUAUUUCGAGAGAUACUGCCUAUGAUUAUUCAGAAGUGGAAAAAUGUGACACUAGCAACGACGGCACUGCGGGACCACGUACUUCUCGCACAAAAGGACAAAAUAAAAACCAUUACACUGGUUACGUUGGUUAUUUUUUAUGUUGGGCGAUAAGACAGGACAGAACGAAAAGAUCGAGUACCAUAUGCAAGUACCAGACAUGCGCGGUGUUAAGUUGAUGCGGGAUUCGCACAUCUAAAGGCAUGAUUUAGAUACACUUCAACAGCUGGCCGAUGUUACAGAGAAGUCAUCUACAACAAACAGCCGGUAUGUUACCCCAAGCGGUCAUGGCGGCAAUGGAAACCCGUUCUUGAGGGAUUUUUCAAACCAAUUAUUGGUAUAAGAUAGAAAAUUCCUGCACUUCCGGUUCCUGUCGAACACACCGGGUGUGGUUAUUGGCAAAGUAACACCUGAAGGCGAGGAAUAUUAGAUUCAAGGUUUGAAAGAACACGGAUUCCGGUUCAGUUCAUGUGUCCGUCCAAGCGUUAUUACGCCCGUAGGAAUGUCAGCAGUGUCACGAAGUGUGCGUGCGUUCGUCUGUCAAGACAGUUAAUAAUAUUAUCAGUGCACUGUUACAACAGCUCAGUGCAGAUUUAAAUAUCAAGAACUGCUGUUGUUUGUUGUUAAAAUACGGCCAUUGUUUCUGUUAUAAAGAAAAAUAGAACUUAUUAUUUAACUGUCUAUGUUUUUUUAUAAGUAUUAAACGUUAAAUGUAGACUUAUAUACUGUUGUUGAUUUACUACUUAGGGUAUAUACCUAAAAAAUUGUCUGAUUUCAAUCUAUGCGACCCGUGCAUACUAAAACCCACCAACACACCUGUGUCUUCUGACCGUGGUCUGCAAUAUUUGUUUUUCAAGCAGUAUAUAGUCUGAAAAUUUCCCGUAAAGAUGAUGAAUAAUUUUGUCCAAAUUAAAGGUAUAUAGUGUGGUAAUGGUUGAAAAAAAACAACAAUUAUUUGCGCCAUGUAUGACUCGCUUAUGGGUGUUGUUAUAACGUUGCUAAGCAACGCUAAAAAUCGCAAUAAGCGGGAAGUCUAUAGUUUACAUAACUUCAUUACUAACUGUUUUACAGCUUAAACAUACUAAUGGAGUGAAUUUAAGAUUCAAAUAUAAUUGCCGUUUUAAAUUUUCCAAUUAACAACGUUAGACGUCAAUUUAAUUUUUCGACGUCAUUUAUUUACAAAGUGAUCAAAUAUAUGACGUUCUUUAAAUAAGUAUAUCUCAAUAACUAACCCUUUGAUUUUAAAACAGUUUUCACCGUCAUACUCAGAAAGAAAUUCUCUACAAUAAUAAGUGAAAAACCAAAUUUCGAAAAAAAUGUCAUUAAGACCGGUUUUCUCGCGUCGCGCCUCAUAU